CACACGCUGCUCGCUGCUAGACUGGCCAACGCCGCCACCCGCACAACACAACCGCUCCCAAGGCCCCGCCCCGCGCCGUAGCUCUCGCAUGUGCCCUCCUCCUCCGCCCCGCUCUCCAAGCGUCGCCUCCCAUUGGGCGGCUAAGCGCGCCCGGGGGCGUGGCUUAUGCUAAUCAGGCAGCAGGUACCGGCGACGAAGGCGUGAGGGGCUUUUUCGGGAGGGGAGGGAGAGGGGGCCUCGCUCGGCCCCAGCCACGUGUGAGCGCGAACGCCCGGCUGGUCCUGUGUUCAAAUUUCCCCUUCUUGCUAGGAGGUGGAGGGAGGAAGAAAAGGAAAAAAAGCCACCACGCGCUCCAUUGGCUCCAUUUGACCAGGGGGGGUCCCCAUUUUCUGGCACAUACAUACAUACAUGUCGAUAACUAUCGUGCAAGGGUUGAUAAGGGUUGACUUUCCUGCCUCUGCAGGACAGGACACACAGAAUUGGCUGCCUGAGGUGGCUUGCUUCACUGCCUAAUAGGAGGGCCUGAUGUACGUAAGAAUGAAGCUGCAUGGCCUAUACUGUACUGAGUCUCGCCAUUAGGACUGCCUAGUUCAGUAUUAUGGGACGUGGGUGGCGCUGUGGGUUAAACCACAGAGCCUAGGACUUGCCGAUCAGAAGCUCGGUGGUUCGAAUGCCCGUGACGGGGCGAGCUCCCAUUGCUCGGUCCCUGCUCCUGCCAACCUAGCAGUUCGAAAGCAUGUCAAAGUGCAAGCAGAUAAAUAGGUACCGCUCCGGCGGGAAGGUAAACGGCGUUUUCGUGCGCUGCUCUGGUUUGCCAGAAGCGGCCUAGUCAUGCUGGCCACAUGACCCGGAAGCUGACCUCGGCCAAUAAAGCGAGAUGAGCGCCGCAACCCCAGAGUCUGUCACAACUGGACCUAAAGGUCAGGGGUCCCUUUACCUUUACCUUAGUUCAGUAUUGUCUACUGUAAACAGCGUUUCCUGGCACUCGUCAUGGUGUCCCGUUGCGCCAGAAGCAGUUUAGUCAUAGCCACAUGACCCAGAAAGCUGUCUGCGGACAAACGCCGGCUCCCUCGGCCUGGAAGCGAGAUGAGCGCCACAAUCCCAUAGUCGCCUUUGACUGGACUUAACCGUCCUUUACCUUACAUUGAUUGGCAGCAGCUCUCUGGGUGUUUCAGGCAGCAAGUCCCAACCAGCCCUACUCGGAGAUGCCACAGAUUGAAUGUGGGGCGUUCUGCAUGCAAGGCAGAUGCUCUGCCACAGAGCUGUAGCCCUCCCCUCAGGUCUGAUGGCUUCUGUUUUCUUACUGCUGCCAUGCCAGAAAUGACUCAACAUGUGUAUUUGCAGGGGUGGCAUGGGUUGGGGUAGGAAGAUAAUCCAGGAAAUGAUAUGGGUGCUGCCAGAAAUGUACUUCGACACAGUAGCUGAACCCUUCAUGGGUUGCCAGGCUUCAUAGUAAUGCUGGCACAUGGGAAGCUAGCUAGCCUGGACAUCUGUUCAAGCAAAACAGCAAAUACAGUACAAUACUGUAUGUGCAUUUGAAUGUAUGUUAUCUACAGAAACAAAGCACCACCACAUUAUAUAGCAUUAAAGUAUGGCAUGUCUAUUCCUUAUGACAUGACACACUUUGAACAACCCAUUGUGCCAUAUUUUGAUUCACAGCUGACAGACCAGCAGAGCAUCUAUAACGUUUCCCUAGGACUGGGUAUUCUCCAGAUGUGUUCGACUCAAACUCUCAGCAGUCCCAGCUAGGGUUGCUACCCGUCCCUAGAAAAACGUGAACGUCCUUUUUUGGAGAAAACUGUCCCAUGCCCUGUUUGGACUUCAAAUGGGAUGCCUUUUUUCACAUAUUCAAGCUCCUCUUCCUCCUCAAAACUGCAGGCAGAGGGUGGGUCACGGAGAGUGAGGGAGUUUGCAGUGCAUGGGCCUGCUAUAGUGGAGUCUCAGGUUUUCCGCAGGCAGGGGGGUGGCCGAUAGGUCGGAGAGCAAGAGGUGGCUUGCAGGGGCCUUUGUCAGGGUGUGGUGUGGUAGAGCUUUUGCGUGGGCAGAGGGGGUAGGGGUUGGUCGGACUUGGAGAGCGAGUCCCAGCUAUAUAUGCAAUGUGCAAUAUUUUUCUUACAGUUGUAAAUCAUAGUGCUUUUGUUCUUUUUUUAUUGAAGAAACCACUGUAAACCCCGUGUGCCAUUGCAGUGGGUUGCUCUGAAGUAAUUUCUGCACUAGGUAAAGUAAUUUUUAGCCCCCCCGCCAGGCCCCUAUUUUGCCUGACCAAAGGUAGCAACUGGCAGCCAGUAAAAAUCUGGGAAAGUGGGAGUUGGGGUUCAAUAACAUAUGGAUUACUUAGGGUAUGAUUGGCUAACCCUGCUGUGGGUGCACCAAUGCCUGUGGUACGUAACACCUAAUUUUAACGCAUGUAAGGUUGCUUUGGUAGGUCUUCUUUGGCCUUUGCUCCCUCCACUUAAAGCUGAACCAUGACCAACACAUACCUUUUAAGAUCCUGGUCUUUUCUCAAGAAUCUGCAAUUCUUCACCCUGAGCAUUGGUAGAGACAUGAGGGGAAUCUUUACACCCUUCAGCUUUGCUGCAUCAGACAACAAUUUGGUUUAACUUCUCAGCAGAAUUUAAAACUAACUUGCGGACGAAGACAAAACCCACCAUUUGCUCAAAUCUUUUUCCUAUUGCUUUCAGUCUGCUUCUAACGUAUUUCUCACUCGUUCAUUUUCUUUUCAUGCUGUGGCUAAGCAAUAUGCUCCACUAGGUGAGCUUUAAUUAAAGGCACUCGUUUCCCUUCUCAAGAGUUCAGCUGCAGCUGGGCCCUCUUGUCAGCCAGAUGAUUGCUUGCAUCCAGCCAUAUCUUAAGCACACAGUAGUUCAUCUGUAAGCCCAGUUUAUCUGAGAUGCCCAUGAAAUACUAGCCCCAUACAGCAAUCCGAAAUGCAGAAGUCAGUGACAGAGGGCAAAGGCAUGCAGGGGGAAAGUGUGAGUUGAAUGGAAUGGGUCUUUGGUAAAAGGUCAAAGGUUGGAACAAGCUGACCACCUAAGCAGUGAAUAGUGGGCCUGUUUAACAACAAUAAAAGAGAGUGUUUGUACUUUGGGGGCUAUUACAUCAGCAUUUGUUGGCUAUGCUGGUCACGCAUCGCUGGAGGAUGGAUGGGUGAGGAUUGCUCAACAGUUAGUCUUGCUUGAAACAAGCCUUUUUGAAAACUUGCUUCUCUUUAGCCAAGAGCUACUGGAAACACAUGCUCUCAUAAGCUUUAGAAGAGUCAGAAAGGCAUCUGAGGGCUGAACAGUACGGUAGGUUAUUUCCAGCUGAAAAAGUAAAGACAUUCUAUGGCACUGUAGGAUCUAUCAAAUGGCAUGUGGUAUCAUUAUACAGAGUGCUUUAAAAUACGGUAAAGGUAAAGGGACCCCUGAUCAUUAGGUCCAGUCGUGGCUGACUCUGGGGUUGCGGCGCUCAUCUCGCUUUAUUGGCCGAGGGAGCCGGCAUACAGCUUCCAGUUCAUGUGGCCAGCAUGACUAAGCCGCUUCUGGCGAACCAGAGCAGAGCACGGAAACGCCGUUUACCUUCCCGCCGGAGAGGUAAUGGUACCUAUUUAUCUACUUGCACUUUGACAUGCUUUCGAACUGCUAGGUUGGCAGGAGCACGGACUGAGCAACGGUACCUUAAAAAAAACACCAGGAAAUGCAUUAAAGAGCUGAGCAUCAGGAUUAAGGUACUCUAAAGUCUAAAACAUUUGUGGACCUAUGAAAUACUAUCAUAUAUUACUAUUAAUUAUUAUACAUGAUGCUUUAAAAUACCUUAAAAUAGCAGUAAGUGUUUCUGCUAUUGGAGCCAUAGUGAGCGUGAGAUUGUGGGUGGGUUUGUAUUUGGUCAGCAACUCCCCGUGCAUCUUCCAGAAUUCUGAAAUUUUAAAGUUUUAGACAUAUCAUGCUUUGAGCAGACCCACUGAAAUCCAUGGGAAUUGGGUUAGCCACAACUACCUGAAUUUCUACUGAUUUCAAUGGUUUUACUCUAAACAUGACUAAGUCUGGGUCCAGCCAAUUAAGUGGAAGUAACCUCCAAUGGAUUUUAGUGGGAAAUGCUUUCAAGCAAGUUGCUUUGGUUUGCAAUCCGAAGCACACACCUACCCUGGGAAUAAGCAGCACUAAAGCCAGUGGGGCUGACUGCCUAAAAGGCAGUAAGAUACUUGUGUUUGCUACCCUUGAGUAUAUGCCGGACAUUAUAAGCCCCCUCCCCCCCCUUCUGCAAUGAUCUGCUUUACUCAUAAUUUCAAGAAAUAUGUAUAGUUCCUGGGUAAAGUAGAACAUUGCAAAAACAAGGCAUUGAACUGUUACUCAUUUAACCCAUAAGGCCAAGGACAUCCCUAGACUUUGUCCUCCUUAACAAACAACAGUGGAGUGCUGUUGCAAAGAGGGCUGCAUACAGCUUCCAGAAAAAAAUGCAGUCUUUUGCAGCCUUCAGAAUCAAGGCAAAGCACAAGUUUCAAAAUUCCGUAAGGCUAUGCUCAUUGGUCUUGAAACCUAGCGCCACACUCCUGUAUGGGCCUUGCACAUUUAUUAGUAGUUAAUGAACAAAACUAAUGCAGGUUAGAAUGUGGAUUAUUUCUAUAUCUGACUAAUCAUACUCAUUAAAACCAAUGGACUUAAAUUACCGUAGUAAUGAUCAUUGGUUUCAAUGGGUCUUUUCUGAGUUUGACUUAGUAAUAUGGUUACUGGCUUACUAGCAGCAAAAAAAAAUACAAAAAAAUUACCGUAUUUCACAACCCAUAGUAACCAAUGAGUAUAAGCUGAUUUUAACCAUAUUUGACCCUAGAAUAAGGUCUAGGGUCAACAGGUUAACAUUUAGUAGUUAAUCCAUCAUUUUUUCUUUCCCCAAAGGAAUUUGGGGGGGUAAUGCAUAAAAAAUAUGAUUGCCUUGUUGUUAGCAGCUCUAUGCACAGAAAUAGCGAACCAUUGGAAAGUCCCAGUCCUGCCCUGUUGAAAUAGUUGGAUGAAUAAAAUUGGGACUGUCAGAACGACUGACUCAACACUGAAGGGUUGUGGGAGGCAUAUCAAAAGGUAGUAACUUCGCUUUGACUUUGUUUCUUUUCAUUAUAAACGCUUGCCCCUUUCCCAACAGCUCGGCUGGCUUCCCAGGGAUGCCGGUACCUGCAACCGUGUUACAUUUGAGUUUUGGUAUGUGACACUGUGUUUGUAUUGAGAAUGCUCUUUGUGCACCACUUCGUUGUGCGUUAUUUCUUAAACCAAAUGUUGUUUGGUAUUUGUAUUCUCAAAAAACAACAACAUUAAAUUAAAAAUAAAGCUUUUGUAAAUAUAUAAACCCAUUACAGAGUUGCAAGCUAUCAGUUCUGCCAAUAGUAAAUCUAGAGGAAGAACAAAUAAAGGCACCGAAUGCAGAAAGAUUAAAAAGAAAUUGGUUCCUUCGAUGGAUUGGUGCUAUAAAUGCCAAAAUGAAGUGAGAGUAAACAAAUGUAAAAUAAUUCCAUGUGUGGUCCAUGGUCAGUGGUAGAGCACAUGGUUUGCAUUGCAGAGGGUCCCAGGUUCAAUAUCUGCCAUCUCCAGGCAGAGAAAGAAUAGUCUCCUGCCUGUAACCUUGGAGAGCAUCUGCCAGUGAUAUAGACAAUGCUGAGGUAGAUGGUCUGAUUCAGAGUUUCCCAAACUUGGGUCUCCAGCUGUUUUUGGACUACAAUUCCCAUCAUUCCUGACCACUGGUCCUUCUAGCUAAGGACUGAUGGGAAUUGUAGUCCAACAACAGCUCAAGGCCCAGGUUUGGGAAACCCUGGUCUGACUCAAUAUAAGGCAGCUUCCUAUGUUGCUAUGUACUGCUUUGGGAUCCUCUGAUUCCCUAUUCUUGUGAAACUGAGCUUGCACAACUAAUGGCUUCAGUAGCAAUUGCAGUAUCUGAUCUCCAGAUUCCUCCAUGUUCCAGGAUGUUUUGUCCCUGUUGCAAAGUUUACUUUUUAAGAUCAAUGUUUCAGAGGUAAGGGAAUGGCAUGAAACAAGAGCUAUGCCCUUACCAACUGUGUUUUGGUUAGUAUAAUUGCCGUAGUGAAUUCACUGCUCAUCUGUCCACCACAUGAAUGACAGAAAAACAUUCCUCAUCGCCCUUUAUCCAGCAAAACUUUCAUCAUACAAUACUAUGAAUUUCUGCCAGUUUUUCAGACAUGUGCUAACAGCCCUACUGGAUUUCAUAAAUAUUCCAUUUGGAUCUGACUUUUUGACCACGAAUGUAUCUGGAUACAUGAGGAACUUUAUGCAAAGCUUUCAGUUGGGGCACUUAAGUAAACAAGAGGCUAAGAAGGGAAGCAGAAAUGUAGCUAAAAGCUGCACAUGGUAUUUGAGAAAUUUCAAGGUGGAGCUAAAAGGAAUUCACCAAAUCACUACAGAAAUGCCAUAAGGUCCUCAGCUUCCUGAUUUUCUGCCUUUAUUUGUCCUCUGCCCUUACAAGUCCACUAUAACAGCAGGUGGGUUGGGAUCUGCUACUGGAUGACAGAAUGACCUAAGGUGGGUGAUGGCAGCAGCACGACAACCAUACAAAUACACAGCAAGAAAAUAGGAAGUGGGUCCCCAGAUGCAUAUCUGAGCUAAAGGCGGGUCCUCAGUCUGCAAAGCUAACAACUAUACAACUCGUGAUAUGACAUCAUCACCCUGUGCCUGCCCUCCCAGCCAAUGAUAUGAGGUGGAAGGGUGGGAGCGGUACAGUGCAGGUAUGUUGUAAUAGAGCAGGCCUGGCCAAACCUGGCCCACAGCUGUUUUGAGACUACAACUCCCAUCAUCCCUAGCUAACAGGACCAGUGCUCAGGGAUGAUGGGAAUUGUAGUCCCAAACCAGCGGGAGGGCCAAGUUUGGCCAUGCCUAUAACAGAGGUUUAGAAGAAGAGAUAGAAAAGCGUGCAGCAGCAGCUAUGAAUAUCUCAUAACGUUCAUGCACUAGGAUGGAUCUUUAUAACUUUCUAAUAGCUAUUCAUCCUUCUAUUUGAAUUUAUCUAGUCCUUUUUCAUAUUCAGCUAUCCUGCAGCCCACUCUACUGGUUCUGCUAAUAACAGUUCAUCCACAAACUGUGUAAAAUAAGUCAAUUCUCUCUGUGAUGGCAUGGCCUGAAGGCAUGCAGCCAGCCCCAUGAGAAGGGAGAGAGGCAAGCAAACCAACUAACUAAACCAACCCUUCUUUCUUCUUAACUUAACCACUGCCACUAUGUAGAAUUGUAGAUGCAUAUACAUAUUUUUCUCUGCCUGCUUCCACUAAACAACUGUUUAGCCUUCUGGGCUUUAAUUGCUGCAACCCACUCCCAAUACUUGUUCCCUUAGGUAACAGCUCAGUAAAAUUGUUUUAGAAAAGUAGUUACUGAUAGGGGCAAAUUUUCCAGAUUUCAGUUCAUGUUUCCCAAGCCCAAAAUAAUUGUAUAUGUUUUUAAUACAAUUCUAUACUUUUUUCCUUUUCUAAAAGUGAAAGAGUCCUAAGGAAUGUAACAUUUAGCAAAGAGUGCCUUUAAACAAACCUUCAUUUCAUCUGGAAUUUCACUUGAUUAGAGGAAAGUACUCUUUCACACCCAUAAUUCAUUGAUGGAAUUUGCUGCCAGAAUAGGGUGGCAACGACCACUUGGUUAUGUUGCUUUAACACGUAGUAAGUCUAUCAGGCACUAGUUAUGAAGUAAGCAGGGGUAUUCUGAUAAACAACAGACAAAUAAAGUUCAAGGAAAAUCACCUUUAUUUCAUAACUUAUGGUCCCCAGUCCAGACACCUCCUACAGUUAUACGGACUCUCCAGAUUCAGAGGCAGCAUACUGAUAAUCACAGGUGAAGAGAGUACUGUUGUUACACUCAUGUCCUGCUUGUGGCUUCCACAAAGCCUUCUACUUGGCUAUUGUGGAGGCAGCAAGCUGGACUAGAUAGUCUUGCGGUCUGAUUCAUUCAGCAGGCCUCCUCUUACAUUCUUAAUAUUUAUUUCUGGAUAAUGAAAUUGUAUCCAGUUGAAUUUGCCCCCAUCCACAUGUGUUUUCAACACAUCCAGCCAGUUUGUUCCAAAAAGGUUUUUUAAAAGAUGAGAGGUCCAUAAAUCUCUGUGGAGGAACGGAUCCAAACAGGCAUUGUGCUCUGUUGUGUGUGCUUAGGUUUUCAUAUGUUUUUGCAUUCCACAAAAGCAGAUAAGGGAUUCCAAGUCCAUCUAAGCAAUGGGGCUCUGUUAGUAGAAAAUGUUAACGAUGCAUAUUAGCACAGGGCAUUGAACGGGAGCUUCAUCUGCUCUUGUAGCAUUAGUGCAAGCAAAAUUCUAACCAGAGAGAAACGGCUUCCCUACUGACAUGGGCAAGAGAAGGUUCCUGCACAGCUGUUAUUGAUUUCAAUGGGGCAUGUGCAGGAGAACCUCCCAGUGAAUUAUGCCGCUUUUAAAAGGAUGUGCUUUUAUUUUUCCACACAAUUAUCACCGAAGCAACCAGCCUGUCCCAUUUAAGCAAAAACAAAAUACAGAAAGCAAGCCACAACACUGCCCCUCUAUUUUGCACAUUAAAAACAAAACAAAAUUGUUUGGAGGCUGUGUACUUUCCCCGCACCUGCACUAUGCUGGAGUGAACAUCAAUCUACAAACAUGGGACAAGCCGAAAGGCAAAUCCUCCCCUCUCUGUUCACUCUGUUGCCCCCCCCCCCCACUUUUACACAAAAGGAAAAAAACUGGUUCUCAGGAGAAGGGUGGGGGAGGUCAGGACAAAACAUGCAGUAAGAAGUCUUGUUUUUUAUGCCAAUCUCAACUAUUUUGUUUGGCGUUCAGCUGCACAUUCUUUGCCAGCGCUCAAUAUUAUGCUGCAACAGGCACAAAUAGAACAGUAACUAAGGAGCAGACUAGCAUGUUAAUAUUUCAGACAUCAGGAAAAAAAGCCCAUCUUUGAUCAAAUGUAGGAAGCUCUGUGAUGUACUCGAGAGUAUGUCUAUGUACUUGUGGGUCUCCUAUACAGUAUAGCACUUUUGUCAUGCAGAAAGUUAGUUACCUAAGUUUCAGAAGGGACAUUAGUUCCUUGGGGGGAGGGGAACCUGAUAUCCAUCCAAGCAUUGCUAUGAAGGCAGAAGAGCUUUUAGGUCCAGUCACACAUAAGCAAGGUUUAUGUACCAAUAGUUGUUGUUUUUUAAAUCGAAUGUUUCAGUAGAGAUCUGGUCUACAAGCCAGUGCUGUGUAGUGGUUAGAGUGUUGGACCUGGGAGACUAGAGUUCAAAUCACCGCUCAGCCAUGAAGCUCACUGGGUGAUCUUUGGUGAAGCCACUGCCUCUCAGCCUAACCUAACAAAGUGUUUUUUGUGGAGAUGAAAUGAAGAGGGGGAGAACAAUGCACACCAUAUUGAGUUCCUUGGAGAAAAUUGUGAGAUAUCAGUGUAAAUAAUAUAAUAACAAUAAGAAUAGAAUUCUACACACAGAAAGACCAUUUAACUCUCAUUACCUUCAGUGACAUUUAGGGUGCCUGAGUACAGGACUGCAGCCAUGAUUGAAAUAUCACACAGGCCUCUUGCAGGGACUUAGGGCAGGGUUGGGGAACCAGCAUCCCUCCAGAUGUUGCUGGACUAGUUUCUUUCACCCCUGACUAUUGGCCCUAUGUGCUGAGACUUAUGGGAACUGGAGUCCAGCAUUUCAUAGAGUUGGAAGGGACCGCAAGGGUCAUCUGGUCCAACCCCCUGCAAUGCAGGAAUCUUUUGCCCAAUGUGGGGCUUGAACCCAGGACCCUGAGAUUAAGCACCCCAUGCUCUACCGGCUGAGCUAUCCCAGGUCCAUAGGGGGUGCAAAAACUGGAGACUCAUGACAGCUGCUGUCCUAGAUUCAAAGAAGGAGCAUGGACAUCACUUCGAACCAAAUGGUUGUACCUUUGAGGAAACUGGUGACAUACAGAGAUUCUAAAAUGAUGUCUUAUGGCUUCAAAGCUGAAAGCUGACAAUAGACCACAGUAGCUUGAAACUUUCACUUAAUUUUCUGACAGAACACUUGUCCUUUAGCAGUUGCAUGACAGGCAGAAUUUCAGCACAUGAUACUUUCCCAUGAAUAAAGAGGUGUUGUGACCAAAAUCUUUACCAGUUGAAUUUCUACCCGUGUUGCCACUAUUAAAGACUCCGGAAAACCCAGUAGAGGGGAAAUGCAUUGCCUUUGAGUGGGGAAGAAAUCGAUUUCCCUUUAGGAAUAAAUUGGAAAGGAGGGCUACAAGGAAGGACUUGGUUCACUUCAGGCACAGGCAAACUCGGCCCUUCAUAUGUUUUGGGACUACAACUCCCAUCAUCCCUGAACACUGGUCCUGUUAGCUAGGGAUGAUGGGAGUUGUAGUCUGAAAAACAUCUGGAGGGCCAAGUUUGCCUAUGCCUGGUUCACUUAGUGCAACAUUCAAACCUUCCUUAUUACAAGGUGUUCUGUACAUGCCCUAAAGUAAGUAAAGGAACCCCAAUUUUUAUAUAUCUAAAAAUGUGGUAAUCAGUCAUAAAGUCACCCGACUUCAGCUUAUAACCCAAAAUGUCCAGAGUUUUUAUUAUUCCCCUUGAUGUACUGAAUUCCAUAAAAUGGAUGGCAUGCUGGGUGAAGUAUUUCCCUUGAUAAAGCAUUUCAUUCCAUGUCCCCCUCCCUAACACUUGCCCCACUGAGGAAUGUAAACUAAAUGAGUGAUUAGCUUCCAUGUCAGCCUGCCUACAUUUUGAUCUCUGAAACCAAACAAAAACCCUCAUAAUUUUUCUUCGCAGAACAACUGCCCGCUUGGAUGACUGCCAGUGCACUGAAGUGAAAUCCUGACAAGUCAGAGGCACGGUGAGCUGGUAGUUCUCGUGUGGGACUGAAAUGGGUGUUCAAACAGUUCCCCAUGGGGUUGUACUUCCCCCAAAAGAGCACAGGUACAUAGUUUUGGAAGAUCCAGCAUUGUCACUCAAGCACCAAAUGUCUUGGGUGGCUCAGAGUGCCUUUGAAGGAGCUUCAGCUGGUUUGCCAGCUGCAAUUAUUCCUGGACAGAGAUAGCCUUGCUAUGGUGAUUCAUACUCUGGUAAAUUCCCAGCUGGAUUUCUGCGAUGUGUUAUAUACCUGGGACUGCCUGUAAGAUGCCCUGGAAGCUUCAGUUAGUGCAGCGCUUGCUUAGCUGUCAGAAUCUUGACUGGUAUAUCCAGCAUUGCUCUUAUUAUACCUGUUUGAAUUCCAUUUGCUUCUGAGCCCAAUUUUAGGUGCUUGGGACUCGGGUACCUGAAGAAAUGCCUCUCCUUAUAUCACCGUGUCUUAAGGUCUUCUGCAGAGGCCCUUCUCCAAUUUUUUUCUUCUUCCGUUUAUAUCCCACCUUUCUUCCAAGAAGUUGAAGGUAAUGUAUAUGGCUCGCCCCACCCCCUCUUCACAACAGUCCUGUGAACUGGGCUGAGAUACAGGGAAUGAUCUGCAGCCACAUACUGCGCUUCAAGGCUGAUUUGAACUCUGGUCUCCCAUGUCCUAGUCCAACACUCUAACCGCCAUGCACCAAAGGCUCUUAACAGAGAUACAUUUUGCACAAAAGAGAGAGGGCCUUUUCUGUGUCCCAACUUCGGAAUGCCCUCCCGAAGACGACCUGUCUGGUGCUUUUUAACAUCACCAGGCAAAUAUCUUCCUACUUGUUCAGGCAUUUGAGAUGGUAUCUUAAUUAAAACUGCCUCCUCUGCUACUUAGAGUUAUGUUUUUAUCGUGCUGCUUAUUGUCGGCAUGUAGUAUUCAUAUGUGAAUAGUUUCAUACACACUUUUGUACACCACCCUGGAAACUUCUGCUUAAGACCAGUGGCGUAGCGUGGGUUGUCAGCACCUGGGGCAAGGCAAGUAAUUUGCGCCCCCUAACCCGUGGAUUUUAGUAGGGGCAGAGAGCUGCGAGUGUGAGCGCGCCCCCCCAGAUGUUGCGCCCGGUGCGGCCAGCCCCCCCUGCACCCCCCACGCUACGCCACUGCUUAAGACAUUUUAAGAAUAAAUACAUGGAUUGCAGCCUCAGACAUAUAGAAAUCUUGGCUUCUGGGUAGGAUUUGAGAUUUAUUAUACAGUAGUUCUACAGAAAAUCGUCUUUGGCAGCAGAUCCUCCCAAAAGUAGUGGGGUUUGGGAACCCUUCACUGUGUAUCCUCGCUCCUCUUCCUGUUGAACAGAGGGCAGGAAUUCAGCAGAGCACAGCGUAACUGAGAAAUAUUUGUGUUGGUCUUAAGAUUAUUGUGGAAUGUUAUCACAAGGAGUCAUUAUAUCCCCACAGCUUGCAUCACCACUCUUUGCACUGUAGAAGCUGUGGGUUGAUUGUCUUUUAUUUUUUUACUUGAUUCAAAAAGUUGUUACACUGUCUGUCAACAAGGUAAAAAUAAAAAUCCCAGGGAAAAUUAUAUAAUGCCAGAGAACACAUCCUGCUUUUAAUACACUCUGUUUCUCGGUGAUCCGUUUUCUUCAAGAUAACACUGCAUUAAUAUUCGCUGAUUAGGGAAAGAGUAACAGCUGACAUAAUGUGAUGCUUCUGUUCUCUGGUGCUUAAGUACUUGACAACUUCUAAAAUGCCAAGGCUUCAUUGCUCCCAUUCCACCCUGGUGGUAUUCUUUAUCCUUCAAGCAAGUGGCAGAAUAUGCUGCAUUUCAGGAUUUGUCCAGUGUUCCCCCAAAACAUUUUUCUAUCUGCUGCUGGUUUUAUGGGUAUUUGCUUUAUAUUUGACUGCAGUGUUCACCUUCUAUGUAUAUCCUACAUCAAGAUGAACAGAAUGAGUUUUAAAAUUAACAGCAGCAGCAGUAACAACAACAGCAGAAAGCCGUACACAACAAAAAUGUGCAUUUGCUUCUGCUGUCAAACAAUGGGCUAACAAUUUUGUUGAGACAUCAAUGACUCAAUUUGCUUCCUGCGAGUUUCCAUUAGCAAACAGGAAUCUAGAUUACUUUUGCCAGGAGGCAUUACAAUGCUAUCAUUAAUUUGUGUCGCACCCGCACAUCAGGGCACCAAUCAGCUUUUUAAUAAUUUUUUUUGUUUACUUGGAGAGAAUGUUCAGCCAAGUAGAGUUGAAAGGGUAUCAUUGCAGCAGCAUUGAUUGUGAAGGCUUGUUGUGGUCAAAAGAAGAGAAAUUGCUUUUUUAAAAAAACCUGAAAGCUCUCAGCAGAAAUUGUAGCUGUUUUGCAGAAUGCUCAUUCUUCUCUCUCUGCAAUAGUCCUUCUACCCAGCCUGUGGGAUUUCUGACCCUUAGUUACUUAACUUGGUUUAUCUCCACAAUAAUUAUACGUUUUCUGUGACUGCUGAAUGGUCUCAUGCGCACAAUAUUUGUGAUGGAGGUUCCAACAAAAAAAAUUGGGGCUACUGGAAACCUGGAGAGCUUCUACCAGUUAAUCCUGAACUAGAUGGACCAAUGGUCUGAUUUAGUAUAAGGGAACAUCCUAUGUUCCUUUGAGCAGUUUGCGGAGAGAGCACAGAUUUGUAUAUAAAUUAUAUAAAUAAAUAUGUAAUGAUAAGCCACUGUGUGCAUGUGCAUUCAGCUGCAACAAUCCUGAGGAACACAAACCAGGAUAAGCAAAAUGUAUUAGCUAAAAGGGAGAAGGAACCACAGUUGGCGCAGACAUAAGAUUGCAUCGGGGUUAACAAUAGUAAGGCAAGAAAAGAGAUGAAGUGAGUGAGCCCAUAUAUAACCAACAGCAUGUGAAGUUGGCACAAGAUCUUCGUGCGGGGUGGGGAACAUUUGUCCCUCCAGGUGCUGCUGAACUACAAUUUCCAUCCUCCCUGGCCGUUAGCCAUGCUUGCUGUGACUGAUAAGAUUUGUAGUUCAGUAACAUCUAGAGGGCCAAGGGUGCUCCACCCCUGCAUUAGUGGCACUGAGGAUGUAAUCACACAACAUAUAUUUUCUUGGGAUAAGAGACACAGACUAUGUGUGGAGCUUUCUGAGAUCUUCUAAUACACAAGCCUUUCCAGGUGAUAAUUUUAUAGCACAAAAAUUGCAACAUUUGUUGAGUUGGAUCCAGCUACCUUGAAGUAGCUAUUGGGAUGUUUUGCUUUCAGAGGACUUAAUCUGUGAUGUUUUGCCAAUGGGGAAAAGCAGCACCCUUCUGUUCACUAACGCAUGAGCAAUUUUAUUUUUAAUCUUCUUUCUCUCUUGUAAUGUCCUGGAAGUGAUACUGGGAGUAUCUCAAAAGGCAGCAUUGCUUUGUCCCUUCUGCCCCCUGACUGUCUCACUACUUCCUUUCUUUUUGAAAAACCUUGCUUGGUAUGCAAAUAUGCAUAAUCAGCACUAUGCAUAAAUCAGCACAUGUAGCCAUGACUGGGGCUAAUAGGCCCAUUGUAAGCUUGGUGGGCAAAUGCUCCACUCUGGCUAACACCAGCCUCCUUUAUUUUUAACCAGGUUGUUGUUGUUGGGCAUCUAUCUGUCUCAGUUGACAAUGGAGGAGUGUGCCUUUGGGGGUGAAGUCAAACUGUUGGAAGGUUACAGCACCUGCUGUGGCUGUAGGGACUGAUGCAGGAGAGGCAUGUUUUGUUGAAGCUAGGACAGAUGAAGGCGGCUGGUUGUGCAGCUGCAGCUGCACCAUGCUGUUCCUUCUCUUUGCACUCCUCCCAGCAGUCAUGGUAUGAAUGCACAACCUGUCUGUCUGUCUGUCUCCAGGCACUGCAGUUGUCAGCAAGUGAUUCCCAGACGGUGGGGGUUGAAGUUGCCAGCCUUCAUGUCACUUUUGCAGACAUCUUUGUAACACAGAGUUGGUUUGCCUGUGACUGAAGCCAGCUCCCUGUAGAGCACGUCCCUGGGGAUCCUGACAUCUUCCAUUCUGUGUACAUGACCAAGCCAGCGUAGAUGUCGCUGAGACAGGAGUGCAAACAUGCUGGGAAUGUGGGCUUAGGAGAAGAGCGUAUCUUUGUUUGAGACACUGUCCUGCCAUGUGAUGCCCCAAAUCUUCCUGAUGUAGCGCAUGUGGAAGGCGUUGAGGCGUCGCUCCUGGUGGUUGUAAGCUGCCCAAAACUCACUUCCAUGAAGCCCCAUGCUCAACACGCAAACUUGGUAGACCUUCAUUUUGGUAUUGGUCCAAAUGUUAGCACCACAUUUUCCCAUACCCUUUUGAAGAAGUGAGCCACUGCCAUAGCUGCCUUGCUAAUAAGCUUGUCCAGCUCAGCGUCGACAAGAGGUUCUUGGUUAUGGUGGAACCCAGGUAGGCAAAAAUGUCUACCACCUCAAGCGUGUGCUGAUACAUGGAGUGCUGGUGACAUCCUGACCCAGGAAGUACAGCACUGUAAAGAGAAGUGCUGGAGCAUGUGGUUGCCGCUGUUACCAGCUUCAUUAUCCUCAGUGCUUUUUUCUAGAAAAAGAGGUGCCAGAACUCACCUUGUUCUCUUAUAAUGACAAUGGCACCCACCUGAGAUGGGCUGGAACUGAGUUCUGAUGAGUUCCAGCUGAAAAAAUGCUCUGAUUAUCCCCAAUGCCUCUGGUCCCCAAACCUUGGAAUACGCUGUAUCAAGGAUGGGAGGCAGAGAGGCAUUGGGCAUAAUGAAGGUGCUGGCAGCAGCUGCCUUGUUCUUCAUAGCACUGGGCUGAAAGAGUGUUGGCAGAAGGAGUUGUGAUGCUUUCAGCACCACUGCCGGACUUCACAGUUGCCUUCCACUGCUACCCCUAUCGCUCCUUGGUGAGCUUGGGGAAGGCAGAGGAGCACCAAAGAGCCAUCAGAGGCACCAUGCCCAGUGCCCGUUCUCAAACCUAGUGCCAGGCCUAUUAACAUUGGCUAGAGUAUCGAGAGAUGAAUAUAGCUGGCUGUUAUCCCCUUUCUCUUGGAGGCCCCCUAGCAAUGGGCUGCUUGUUUUUUUGUUCAGGGUGGAGUGGAGUGGUGUUCAAUGGCACUAAACUCCCUUUUGUUAAGUGUGCUUUGUUGCUAAUGAAGGCAGGAAUCAUUUUCCCCACCCCUCCACUAAAAUCUCAAGGAUGGCUAUACUGAUUCCAGAACACGUCAGCUAUUUUCAUUAGAUUUUCUGCUUACAUUUUAGAGGCAUAAACUAAUUCCCCAAAUCUACAUUCCUUUUUAUCAACAACAUUUCCUCGGAUGGUAGUGGAUGUUGCACGAUUUCAAGAAUGUGAGGCCCCUAAUCCACAAUUCACCACAAAGCUCAGUCAUCCAAACAAACCUUUUUUGUGAUCCUUACCUUUCCUCUAGCAAAACCUACCCACUAAAGACUUGAGUGCAUCGUUCUAAUGAUUUCAAUUUAGCUAUUGGUACAGCUGCUCUAAAAUUGCUUUGCAAAACUCCAAGCAUUUGAUUGUGCAAAGUUCCCCAGUCUUUCAACAUCUUAUCAUGAAAACUUUGGAAAUGUAUAUAAUUCCGUCUAAUACAACAGUUUCCACCUCAGGUUUAUGAUAGGUCUAUUAAUCAGUCAUCGCUGAAGGUUUGGGAGCUCCCAUUUCAUCACAGCCAUUCCUACAUCUAUCAGUCAAUUAUCUUUAUUUCUUAGCAUCUUUUUAAUUAUGUUUGACUAUGGAUGACGUAGGCUAGGGGGCUUCACGAUUGCAAGUGUACUAGAAGCCUGAAGCCAAAGAGCAGGCUGCUUAGGAAAAAAAAGUGCAAUAUCUUUCCCAUUACCUCUUUGCCCUCCUUACCUAGCAGUCACCAGUGCUGUAACCUGGUGAUGGUAGUAACAAUGGAUUGUAAGAACUCUCGUCUGGUAAUAAAGAAUUAUUUUCUGAAGAAGGCGAUUGGAGGAGCAGCUGCAGACAUUCCUGGAUAAGACUGAUUAUCUGGAUCCAUGUCAGUGUAGGUUCAGGCUGCUCUUUCUUCUCUAUAUCUCAGCAGCUUUUGGUACCAUUGACUAUGGUAUCUUUCUGGACCAAUGUCCUACCUGCAGGGUCAGGUAAAUAAAGUAAUAUUGGGAGAGUGCUCUUCAGCCCCCUAGUGUUUAUGCUGUGGGCUGCCACAGGGCACUACUUUCUCCCCAAAGCAACUACUCUAUUCCAAACUUAAAAAUGGAAAGUGGUUAACAAAAGAGGUUUAAAGACUCUCUCAAGGCAAAUCUAAUAAAAUGUAGUAUAAACACCAACAAUUGGGAAACACUGGCAUGUGAGCAUUCCAAUUGAAGAACAGCCUUUACCAAAGGUGUCAUGGACUUUGAAGACGCUCAAACUCAGGAUGAAAGGGAGAAACAUGUUAAGAGGAAGGCACGUUUGGCAAACCCUCAUCAUGAUCAACUCCCGUCUGGAAUCCUAUGUCCCCCCUGUGGAAGGACAUGUGGAUCCAGAAUUGGCUUCCACAGUCACUUACGGACUCACUGUUAAGACCGUGUUCAUGGAAGACAAUCUUACUUGGCUAUGAGUGAUCGCCAAAGAAGAAGAUGACUACUUUCUCCCCAGUGCUAUGAAGCCAUACUAAGCCAUUAGGAGUGGUCGUUGGGAGUUUUAGAGCGGAGAUGAUAGCCAACACUACUUCUCCAUUACAUCUGAGUCAAGGGGAAAGUCCUGAACUGGUACCUUGAUGCAGCAGUAGGCUGCAUAAACUGAGAUUGAAUCCUGGAAAGAUGGAGAGCUUAUAGGUGCAUGGCUCAUAUUUGGGUGAUGGGUCCAUUGCUUGUCCAAUACUAGAACCCAAGUUCUAGUAUUAUUGUGAGGGGGGGAACUUCUUCAUAUCUAUUUUCUCCAUACCAUACAUGAUUUUUUAUAUCUUCUCCCCACCUUUUUCUAAAUUAAAAGGUCCCACAUCUUUCCUCAGAGGAGAGUUGCUCUAACUUCAGUUACUGGUUUGACUAUAUGACUUAGUAUUAUAUGAGUUGUAGUUAUUGUUUUAGUGUGAACAACAUUCCAGUGUAGAGGAACCAUGGAAAGCUAUAAAUUUUCUAUGUCCCAAACUUUCUGCUACAGAACUAGAACCUGUCAAAGCAAAUAACAGAGGACACAUCUGCCUUAAGAGAGAGGUCCUCAAUAAAAAGACAGGAAAACCAUUAUUCCUAUAUGCACUAGGCACUGCAAACCUCAGCCUUUAUUUCUGGCUUCAGGAGAGACAGAAAAACCUGUAGGUGCACUUUCAUUAUUCUAAAACAUUUUUUCCUCUUUCUGUUACAGAAGUCGGGCUAUCUCAUGGAGGUUUCAGCUUGAUUCACUCCAACUGGAUAAGUGCAUUGUAGCUAAUAAUCAACUGAAAAGAUGAAACCAAUGGACUUGGAACACUGACAGCAGUUGGGGUGAGGGGAAUGGAAAUUUGAGAGGAGGAAGAGUGAUAUUGAAUAUCCUGGAAGAGGACAUGGCAGGCUGGGGGACACCCUGAAGAGAAGCACUCCGCCCUGAAACAUUUUGUUGCUCGUCCCAUGUGUUUCCCUUAAUAAGGAAAUCAACUUAAAUAUGGCUGUCCCAGUAUCUAUGAAGCUGAUUUGGAUGAGGGGGGAAAUGUGUUGGUAACGAAAUAUGAUUGUUGCUGAGCCCUGCGUAUAAUUUAGGAAGUUAAGUAUGUCAAGCCCUGUAUAUAAUUUAGGAAGUCUAGCCAAUGGUAAAGUUCACUGAGAGAGAGAGAAAGAGAGACAGAUACGGAAACUUCCACAGCCCAAGGCAGAACAACUAAGUUCAACACCUAACAACAAAAUGGAAAACAUUUAAUGAGCCAGAAAGACACAACAAUGUGCAUACGAUACUUACAAAUAAUUAACAAAUUGCAUUUAAUUUAUGUUGUUGUUUGGCUACGGCUGGUAGAUGUGUGGUGGAGCUCACACUUUGACUAGAGGCCUGCAACCAAAGUUUCAGCUGGGAAAUAUGCCUAGUGUCCAUCUGCACACACACAGCAGGCCGGGGGAGAAUCCCCUGCCUCCAUGCAGUUUCUUUCAGCAAACUUCCGCAUCCUUUCUCAUACCAUCUUAACCACAACUCCAUUCCCCGGUCUCUCUCCCUCCUGUUCAUUAUCCUGUGAUAAAUAGAUUCUUCUAAAAAAUGGCCAUGACUAGAAAGCAUGGCAUUCCGAUUUGUCACUUUCAAGACACACUUUCAAGCUGAUCUUGAGCCUUGCAGCAUCUCUUACACAGGAAUCUUGCCCACCACCUGAGGGAAUCAAAGUAUUAUUUUUGAAUAGAUUCUUAUAAAGCACUUCAGAAUCAAGGCUGGUUAUUAUCUAGACAAUUUAUUACCAUUUUAUUCAUUAGGGGACUAAAGGCUGAGCAACUCAUUGUGAAGCAAGCAUGGAAUACUGUCCCCAACAUUUCCAAUCAAGUGCUAACAUAGGGUGAAGUGGUGCUUAACCCUUUUGUCCAUCCAUCCAUUAUUUCCUUCAGAAAGUACCCACAGGUUGUUUUUAAACCUAUUCCCCCAGCUGGG